rnacentral:rRNA from 1 species
UAGUCCACGCCGUAAACGAUGUCAACUAGCCGUCGGGCUCGUUAUAAGGGUUUGGUGGCGCAGCUAACGCGAUAAGUUGACCGCCUGGGGAGUACGCCGGCAACGGUAAAACUCAAAGGAAUUGACGGGGGCCCGCACAAGCGGUGGAGCAUGUGGUUUAAUUCGAUGCUACGCGAAGAACCUUACCUGGGCUUGACAUCCCGGGCUACCCUGUGAAAGCAGGGGUUCCCUUCGGGGACCCGGUGACAGGUGCUGCAUGGCUGUCGUCAGCUCGUGUUGUGAGAUGUUGGGUUAAGUCCCGCAACGAGCGCAACCCUCGCCCUUAGUUACCAGCAUUUAGUUGGGCACGUCUAAGGGGGACCGCUUGGCUAUAACGCCAGAGGAAGGUGGGGAUGACGUCAAGUCCUCGUGGCCUUUAUGUCCAGGGGCUACACACGUGCUACAAUGGGAAAGGGACAAAGCG